ensembl:snRNA U4 U4 spliceosomal RNA
AGCUUUGCGCAGUGGCAGUAUCGUGGCCAGUGGGGUUUAUCCGAGGCGCGAUUAUUGCUAAUUGAAAAAGUAAUGGGGGACCAGCACCUUGUGUGUUGGUUAAGGCACUGGAUUCCCACAUGGC